rnacentral:rRNA from 1 species
AGAGUUUGAUCAUGGCUCAGAACGAACGCUGGCGGCGUGCUUAACACAUGCAAGUCGAGUGCGCGUACCGUAGCAAUACGGUAUGGCGCACGGCGCACGGGUGCGUAACACGUGGGCAAUCUGCCCUUCGAUGGGGAAUAUCUUCGGGAAACCGAAGCGAAUUCCGCAUAACAUUCCUUGGACUUCGGUUCGAGGACUCAAAGCCGUAAGGCGUCGAAGGAGGAGCCCGCGCCCGAUUAGCUAGUUGGUGAGGUAACGGCUCACCAAGGCAAUGAUCGGUAGCUGGUCUGAGAGGAUGGCCAGCCACACUGGAACUGAGACACGGUCCAGACUCCUACGGGAGGCAGCAGUGGGGAAUCUUGCGCAAUGGGCGAAAGCCUGACGCAGCGACGCCGCGUGGGGGAUGAAGCAUCUCGGUGUGUAAACCCCUUUCGACUGGGACGAAUGCCUCGCAAGAGGAGUGACGGUACCAGUAGAAGAAGCCCCGGCUAACUACGUGCCAGCAGCCGCGGUAAGACGUAGGGGGCCAGCGUUGUUCGGAAUUACUGGGUGUAAAGGGUUCGUAGGCGGUGUGGCAAGUCGGGAGUGAAAUCUAUGGGCUUAACCCAUAGGCUGCUUCCGAAACUGCUGUGCUUGAGUGUGGGAGAGGCGCGUGGAAUUGCAGGUGUAGCGGUGAAAUGCGUAGAUAUCUGCAGGAACACCCGUGGCGAAAGCGGCGCGCUGGACCACAACUGACGCUGAGGAACGAAAGCUAGGGGAGCAAACAGGAUUAGAUACCCUAGUAGUCC